rnacentral:rRNA from 1 species
CACACUGGGACUGAGACACGGCCCAGACUCCUACGGGAGGCAGCAGUGAGGAAUUUUCCGCAAUGGGCGAAAGCCUGACGGAGCGACGCCGCGUGUGGGAUGAAGGUCUUCGGAUCGUAAACCACUGUCGAAGGGGAAGAUACUGACGGUACCCUUGGAGGAAGCCCCGGCUAACUACGUGCCAGCCGCCGCCGUAACAC